rnacentral:misc_RNA from 2 species
AGCAGCCGCGGUAAUUCCAGCUCCAAUAGCGUAUAUUAAAGUUGUUGCAGUUAAAAGCUCGUAGUUGAAUUUCGAGACCGGUCUACUGGUCGUGCUUUUGUACGUACUGGUAUAAUCGGUUUCUCUCUUCUGACGAACUAUAAUGCCAUUAAUUUGGUGUUUUAGGGAAUCAGGACUGUUACUUUGAAAAAUUAGAGUGUUUAAAGCAGGCUCACGCUUGAAUACAUUAGCAUGGAAUAACGAAAUAGGACGUUUGAUUCUAUUUUGUUGGUUUCUAGGAUCGACGUAAUGAUUAAUAGGGAUAGUUGGGGGCAUUAGUAUUCAAUUGUCAGAGGUGAAAUUCUUGGAUUUAUUGAAGACUAACUACUGCGAAAGCAUUUUGCCAAGGAUGUUUUCAUUAAUCAAGAACGAAAGUUAGGGAUCGAAGACGAUCAGAUACCGUCGUAGUCUUAACCAUAAACUAUGCCGACUAGGGAUCGGGAUGAUGUUAAAUUAAUGACUCAUUCGGCACCUUACGGGA